AUACGGAGGAUGCGAGCGUUAUCCGGAUUCAUUGGGUUUAAAGGGUGCGCAGGCGGAUAUAUAAGUCGGAGGUGAAAUUCUGAUGCUCAACAUCAGCCGUGCCUUCGAUACUGUAUAUCUAGAGUCAAGUUGGAGUAGGCGGAAUGUGUUGUGUAGCGGUGAAAUGCUUAGAUAUAACACAGAACACCGAUCGCGAAGGCAGCUUACUAAACUUUGACUGACGCUCAUGCACGAAAGCGUGGGGAUCAAACAGGAUUAGAUACCCUGGUAGUCCACGCUGUAAACGAUGAUUACUCGCUGUUGGCGAUACACAGUCAGUGGCUAAGCGAAAGUGAUAAGUAAUCCACCUGGGGAGUACGACGGCAACGUUGAA
rnacentral:rRNA from 1 species